GACGAACGCUGGCGGCGUGCUUAACACAUGCAAGUCGAACGGAAAGGCCCUGCUUUUGUGGGGUGCUCGAGUGGCGAACGGGUGAGUAACACGUGAGUAACCUGCCCUUGACUUUGGGAUAACUUCAGGAAACUGGGGCUAAUACCGGAUAGGAGCUCCUGCUGCAUGGUGGGGGUUGGAAAGUUUCGGCGGUGGGGGAUGGACUCGCGGCUUAUCAGCUUGUUGGUGGGGUAGUGGCUUACCAAGGGUUUGACGGGUAGCCGGCCUGAGAGGGUGACCGGCCACAUUGGGACUGAGAUACGGCCAAGACUCCUACGGGAGGCAGCAGUGGGGAAUAUUGCACAAUGGGCGGAAGCCUGAUGCAGCAACGCCGCGUGCGGGAUGACGGCCUUCGGGUUGUAACCCGCUUUCGCCUGUGACGAAGCGUGAGUGACGGUAAUGGGUAAAGAAGCACCGGCUAACUACGUG
rnacentral:rRNA from 1 species